rnacentral:tRNA from 2 species
GCCGGCGUAGCUCAGCUUGGUUAGAGCAGCGGUCUUUUAAACCGAUGGUCCAGGGUUCGAAUCCCUGCGCCGGCACGA